rnacentral:rRNA from 1 species
UACGUAGGGUGCAAGCGUUUAAUCGGAAUUAGCGUGGGCGUAAAGCGUGCGCAGGCGGUUUUGUAAAGUCUGAUGUGAAAUCCCCGGGCUCAACCUGGGAAUUGGCAUUGGAGACUGCAAGGCUAGAGUGUGUCAGAGGGGGGGUAGAAUUCCACGUGAUAGCAGUGAAAUGCGUAGACUAUGUGGAGGAACACCGAUGGCGAAGGCAGCCCCCUGGGAUAACACUGACGC